GGCUCAGAUUGAACGCUGGCGGCAGGCCUAACACAUGCAAGUCGAGCGGCAGCACGGGUACUUGUACCUGGUGGCGAGCGGCGGACGGGUGAGUAAUGCCUAGGAAUCUGCCUGGUAGUGGGGGAUAACGUUCGGAAACGAACGCUAAUACCGCAUACGUCCUACGGGAGAAAGCAGGGGACCUUCGGGCCUUGCGCUAUCAGAUGAGCCUAGGUCGGAUUAGCUAGUUGGUGAGGUAAUGGCUCACCAAGGCGACGAUCCGUAACUGGUCUGAGAGGAUGAUCAGUCACACUGGAACUGAGACACGGUCCAGACUCCUACGGGAGGCAGCAGUGGGGAAUAUUGGACAAUGGGCGAAAGCCUGAUCCAGCCAUGCCGCGUGUGUGAAGAAGGUCUUCGGAUUGUAAAGCACUUUAAGUUGGGAGGAAGGGCAGUUACCUAAUACGUAAUUGUUUUGACGUUACCGACAGAAUAAGCACCGGCUAACUCUGUGCCAGCAGCCGCGGUAAUACAGAGGGUGCAAGCGUUAAUCGGAAUUACUGGGCGUAAAGCGCGCGUAGGUGGUUCGUUAAGUUGGAUGUGAAAUCCCCGGGCUCAACCUGGGAACUGCAUUCAAAACUGUCGAGCUAGAGUAUGGUAGAGGGUGGUGGAAUUUCCUGUGUAGCGGUGAAAUGCGUAGAUAUAGGAAGGAACACCAGUGGCGAAGGCGACCACCUGGACUGAUACUGACACUGA
rnacentral:rRNA from 1 species